GCGGGCCAGGACCGAAAACGAGCAGCACUUGACAGGUGUCUUAUUUGUUCCACGG
rnacentral:SRP_RNA from 1 species